rnacentral:rRNA from 1 species
GAUGAACGCUGGCGGCGUGCCUAAUACAUGCAAGUCGAGCGAACAGAUGAGGAGCUUGCUCCUCUGACGUUAGCGGCGGACGGGUGAGUAACACGUGGAUAACCUACCUAUAAGACUGGGAUAACUUCGGGAAACCGGAGCUAAUACCGGAUAAUAUAUUGAACCGCAUGGUUCAAUAGUGAAAGACGGUUUUGCUGUCACUUAUAGAUGGAUCCGCGCCGCAUUAGCUAGUUGGUAAGGUAACGGCUUACCAAGGCCACGAUGCGUAGCCGACCUGAGAGGGUGAUCGGCCACACUGGAACUGAGACACGGUCCAGACUCCUACGGGAGGCAGCAGUAGGGAAUCUUCCGCAAUGGGCGAAAGCCUGACGGAGCCACGCCGCGUGGGUGAAGAAGGUCUUCGGAUCGUAAAACCCUGUUAUUAGGGAAGAACAAAUGUGUAAGUAACUAUGCACGUCUUGACGGUACCUAAUCAGAAAGCCACGGCUAACUACGUG